rnacentral:rRNA from 1 species
AGGACGAACGCUGGCGGCGUGCUUAACACAUGCAAGUCGAGCGGUAAGGCCUUUCGGGGUACACGAGCGGCGACCGGGUGAGUAACACGUGGGUGAUCUGCCCUGCACUCUGGGAUAAGCCUGGGAAACUGGGUCUAAUACCGGAUAUGACCUGCUCUCGCAUGGGGGUGGGUGGAAAGAUUUAUCGGUGCAGGAUGGGCCCGCGGCCUAUCAGCUUGUUGGUGGGGUAAUGGGCCUACCAAGGCGACGACGGGUAGCCGACCUGAGAGGGUGACCGGCCACACUGGGACUGAGACACGGCCCAGACUCCUACGGGAGGCAGCAGUGGGAAUAUUGCACAAUGGGCGAAAGCCUGAUGCAGCGACGCCGCGUGAGGAUGAAGGCCUUCGGGUUGUAAACCUCUUUCAGCAGGACGAAGCGCAAGUGACGGUACCUGCAGAAGAAGCACCGGCUAACUACGUGCCAGCAGCCGC